GGGUGCGAUCAUACUAGCACUAAAGCACCGGAUCCUAUCAGAACUCCGCAGUUAAGCAUGCUUGGGCCAGAGUAGUACUAGGAUGGGGGAUCUCCUAGUAAGUCCUUGUUAGGUGGUCA
rnacentral:rRNA from 14 species